GAAGGGCGUGCUAAUCUGCGAUAAGCGCCGGUAAGGUGAUAUGAACCGUUAUAACCGGCGAUACCCGAAUGGGGAAACCCAGUGUGAUUCGUCACACUAUCAUUAACUGAAUCCAUAGGUUAAUGAGGCGAACCGGGGGAACUGAAACAUCUAAGUACCCCGAGGAAAAGAAAUCAACCGAGAUUCCCCCAGUAGCGGCGAGCGAACGGGGAGGAGCCCAGAGCCUGAAUCAGCAUGUGUGUUAGUGGAAGCGUCUGGAAAGGCGCGCGAUACAGGGUGACAGCCCCGUACACAAAAGCGCAUGUGCUGUGAGCUCGAUGAGUAGGGCGGGACACGUGGUAUCCUGUCUGAAUAUGGGGGGACCAUCCUCCAAGGCUAAAUACUCCUGACUGACCGAUAGUGAACCAGUACCGUGAGGGAAAGGCGAAAAGAACCCCGGCGAGGGGAGUGAAAAAGAACCUGAAACCGUGUACGUACAAGCAGUGGGAGCCCCACCACUAAGCCAGUGGUGAACUCCACAUACGCAUCCUUUGCUGAGGAUACGGUUAACGGAGCGAAAGCGACGUUCAACCUCAAAAGAAGCAGAGGGGGCUUAGUGGUGGGGUGACUGCGUACCUUUUGUAUAAUGGGUCAGCGACUUAUAUUCUGUAGCA
rnacentral:rRNA from 1 species